rnacentral:lncRNA from 1 species
AUUAAAUAUACUAUAGAUUUAUGAUUUAUGAUGUAUGUUUUACUUAACAAGUCUAGUUUAUUACAUAUAGUAUUUUAAAAUACAGGAUGCCCACAUAGAGUGUCCCUGAUGUGAAUGAUCUUACAAAAAUCAGAAAAAUCUUACACAUGUGUCAUCAUUUGUAUCAAUUGCAGAAACUCUCCAAAUUUAUACUCCCAUUUUUUGCCAAUUGAAAUAGCUUAUGUAGGCAAUGCUAUAAUUCAGAGAAGGAAAAUUGCAUCUACUCAGGAUUGCAUUUACUUAUAGAUUGUCUGAUUUGCAGAGUUGAAAUCAGUGAUUCUCAUGCAAUGAAGAUUCAGGACAGUAUACAAAAAGGACACAUCUGACAAGAAAUCUAUUAAGAAAUAGUUUGACUCUUCGUAUUCAAUGGAAACACAAUGAGAGAACAUAAAGGAGGUAAGCUGUGUGUCUCAAAUAAAGAUGUGGAGCAUAUUGGAGAGACAUUUGCUUGUAGUCCAUUUAAAUCCAUUUGACAUGCAGCAAGAGAAUUACAAAUGCCAGGUUCAACCAUUCACAAAGUGCUUCAUCAUAGUUUACAUCUGUUUGCAUAUAAAGACCAAAAUCUUUUUGAACAUUCUUCAAGCCACAAAUAAUAUCCAUGUGGAAGUUACUAAUUUUUUCAAGUAAUUUUUAGAGUUUUCCUCUCAUAUUCAUACAAUUAAGUCUUAAUACAGUGCAUUAGUUUCCAU